UUUCGUAUAUGCUGGUCCGUUUAUCCCCCAACCCUUACACACUUCUAUAUUUUGAUGAAGUAGGCUUCGUACACCCCGACCAGUUUCCAGCUCUGAAUGAAGGUCCAAGUAGUUCACUAUCCCCCGUUUGCAUUCUAGGUCAAUCAGCAGCUGACAUCCUCAAUAAAGACACAGUAGAGUUGCAUGUGGUAUAAUAUGACAAGAAAGUUUUCUGGAAUAAAGAUCAUAAAUUGGCUAUCUCAAUUCUUGUUUUACCCCAGUUGUAUAAUGCUGCUCUGAAUGUAUAUAUGGAUGCAAAUAGAAGAUAUAAACAGUCAAUCAGGUCACAAAUAAACAAAGGUUCCUUUGAUGAUGCAAACUGUGGAUGUGAUUUUGAUCAAUUUCUUGAAAGUGAAGUUCUAAAGCAUACCAGGGCACUUUUGAUUCUCAGUUAUGACUUCAAGAGUGCAUGGAAUUCCAGUGGCAUUCAUCAUUCGGUAGGAAGCUUGUCCUAUCAAGAAAGCAGGAGCUAUCAUUAUUUGUGGACGAAUUUUAGUUAUCUGCACUAAUCCUUUCAUAUGCACCAAAAAGUGAAGGUGCUUGGAGUCAUAGGCAGUGGACAGUAAAGAUGAUUGCAGAAAAAGUUCACGAUCUGCAGGAGCUUGUAGGAAAAGAAUCAGAGCUGGUGAAGAAUAUUGCUGAGAAAUAAAAAAUGAAUUAUCGUGCUUGGAAUCAUCGAUGCCGGCUUGUUCUAUACAUGACGGAGUCACAGGUAACAUCAUAAUAUUAAUGUUCUUGUAAACUUACUAUCUUAGUACUAUUAUGUCACAUAGAUACUGUGGUUAACUAUCCUUUAACUUUGAGAGAGUUAUUAUAGCAAAUUAAUUAGAGUUCUCAAAUUCAUAUUGAUGUGUGACCACUAGGCAGUCAACCAACAGUUUAGUUAUUGUUUACUCUUCUAUUUGGCAAUGAGAAGCAUUAUUACUUGUUCUAUGCUGCAUGGAUGUACUUAUAUCUUUCUUAGUGAAGGAAAAUCGAAAACCUGUAUCUCCUUUUCCUUAUGUGGGAUCAUCGUGACUCUCUUCUUAUUUCUUGAAUGUCUAUGGCUUAUGCACCCUAAAUGUUUUUGUAGUACUUCUGUAAGUUGUGUAAAUAAUAAACACGAAUAGUGUGCUAUGAGUAGUAGUGUUACCAUUACUCAUUGUUAUCAGCUUUCUUUCAUUCAUGGUCAUCUGUCAUUUGCUUCUAAAGAUUAGUAUGGGAAGCAAUAGAGUUCUUGAAUGUAUUACCAUAUGUAGUUCCUUCAAUGCAAC